rnacentral:misc_RNA from 1 species
UUGAGGCGUUUAAGGCGCGCUCCGCUCUUUGUUGACUGCGGUGGUUUGUCGCGGGGGUGCCGCGGUUCCGUUUCAUGGGGUGGUCGCUGAUGUUACGCUGAUCUGUUCAUCUAAGAAGUGCGUCUUCCACAAUUUUGAACGUUGCAUGGGAAAGGGUUGUGUUACGUGCGUCUGAAGUGGUUUAUUCAACCACGAAGGGCGCAUACAGCUGGUCAAGUUCGUGCCUUCGUGGCAGACGUUCGAAAACAGUGCUCUGCGGAAGCCAUGCAAAUCUUCGCAAAGCU